AAACCAGGAGAGGAGCCUUGGACCUCUGAGCCGCGAUGGCCUUCCAAAUGCCCUUCCGUUCUUUGGCAAAAACCAAGAGCAAAAAGCCGAAACCCACACAGGGAGUUCCCAAGGUCACAGAGUUGUGUCUGCCAUUUACGAAUGUCUGUUCUUUUAUUUAAGUGUUUGUAAAUGGGCUACUGUUUUCUCUGUUCUGCCAAGGAAUUAGGAUUCAGAGAAGAAGACUCUAAAAAUACUAAUAGGCAUAUCCAAAUGAGCUGAUCCGCAUUACUGGCCAGUGACCCUGGCCUUUAGAAGGAGAUAAGGGAGGGCAGUUCUCUUCACCUGGGAUACUUUGUAUUUCUGGCCCUUACUCUGAGAAUUGGCCUUGAUGUUUUACAAAGUUUAUCUCAGAACUCCAUGUCAGAACUGGACCGGACUGUAGAGUUCUUCAGUCCUAGUCUCUUUCUUUCCUUUCCCUUCCUCCCCUUCCUCUUCCUUCUUUUCUUUUCUUUAAUUUCUUCUUUUUUUUUUUAACUGUGGUUCUAGAGGUUAAAGUGAUUUGCCCACACUCUUAUGGCUAGUCUCUCUAGGGACAGAGACAGAAUUGGAACCCAGGUCUAUUAUGGACACCUACGGUUUUCUUGAAUGGAAAUCUGAUUUCAGAUGAAAGCUGUACAGAACUUGACCUUCAUGAAGCCCUCUCUGGAUAGCAUUCUUGGGAAGUGGCUUGUGUAUUGACGUCCACAGAUAACUAUUUCACUGGUCAGAAUAAGGUUAAGCAAUAAGCAUAGCCAUGCAGAAAAUGUCUGCUGAGAUGAAGUAGAUAUCUGAUAUGUUUUUGACUUUUUAUUUGUACGUUUCAAUGGAGGAGCUAAUGAAUACUAACUAAUAACAACAUCUUGCUCAUUUAGAUUUUAGUCCUGUGUGACUAAAUUGACUCAGUUAUAGUUGUUCUUGUCCUAACGUAUUUGUCACCAGUAAAAGUUCCAAGGUACAGCUUUCUGGCUUCAUUUCAUUUUUAACUGAAUAAUUGCCUUAAGGAUAUUUUUAGAUCUCAACAAAAACUCCCCUCCUCUUGAACCUUAGAAUCCUUCUGCUUCACUCUUGGCAAAUCUUUGGGUCGGAUUUCAGAACUGAAUAAAGCCAGGAUUUCCCCCCAACCUCCAAGAUGUCUGGACUCUUUGUUUAGUUCUGUAUUUAAGUUUAUCCCAAGUUUUGUUUUUGACUGAUGAACCUGUGACCCAAAUCCAAACCUCAGCUGAAUUUAGUAUCAGCUUAAAACCACAUUAAACUGCCAUGUGUCAUGUGACCUCUAGCAGAAACCAACGUGGCAGUGUUCUGUUUUUUCAUGAGUGCGUUUCAUUGGGGUUUUUGAACUGUG
rnacentral:lncRNA from 10 species